AGUAGGAGUUAGGGGUAGCGUUGGGACUAGAAUCCCGGCGCUCUGAUGUCCAGUUCAACAGGAUUCUGCACCCCAACCUCCCUCACCUUCAAAUGACCCAUGGGUGAUGACAAAAUCUUGCACACCCAUUUUCUCAGCCUUACGGCGAUCCUGCACUCAAGGCUGUUGCUGGACCAAAGGCGGCCUGCUUCUUGGUGAGCUAGAGACCGAGGCUACGCUGGGCGGAGGUCACUGUAUUUGUACAAACAAGGAGAUCACUGGGGAAUGGUUUCCAGAGCUGGGACGCCCCGGCAGCAGUAAGGGCUUGAGAUGAAUAUUCAGACGGGGGUUUUAACAUUCUAAUGAAGCUGAGGUCACUGUCAGGGAAUUUCGGAUUCACCCGGCAGGCGUGGUCCUCGAACGUUUCUUCGUUUCUAAAAGAUGAUAAGCAGAAGCUUCUAGGGCUUUUCUGAGUUUAGGAGGUCAGUCAGGGCAUCACUCCUGAGCUCAGGGGGUCAAGGGGUCACCGGUGACACGGCCUGGACGGGGAACUAAGAAACCCAGGCCCAGAAGAAUUUCAGCUGUGUGCCGCCCACUUACCUGCCCCAAAUGCCUGGGAUGGUUGGAGGUGAAGGUGUAAGGCCUGACACCCGGUCCUGACAGAGAGAGAAAGAGAGCACGAACGGGGGAGGAGCAGAGAGAGAGGGAGACCCAGAAUUCGAAGCGGGCUCCAGGCCCCGAGCUGUCAGCCCAGAGCCCGACGCGGGGCUCGAACCCACGGACCGCGAGAUCAUGACCUGAGCCGAAGUCAGACGCUUAACCGACUGAGCCACCCAGGCGCCCAGACAGUUAUCUUCCCUUUUCCCUGCUUCCCCAUCACCUUCCCGGAACCCAGAGAUGCCCUGUUAGCCCUCCUCUCCCAGUCCAAAGAGCGGGUCUGCAGUUCCAGAAGGGCCUUGAGCAAGAAGCAUCCCAGCCAGGACUUCAAAUCUGCAUAAUUUAUCCACACACAGAGCCACUUCUGCAACCCAAGAUGCCACUCCUGAACGGCUGCCCAGAGAGCUCACGCUGCCAAAUCUUCCAGAAGACUCCUCAUCACGGACCCACAGAGAGCAGGAGGACGCCCUGUGGCCGUAACCCUCAGCGUUCCUUCGUCCAGUCAGCCUGCUGCGAUCCAGCGCUCAUGACGGCUCACAGAGGGCACAGGGG